AUUGAACGCUGGCGGAAUGCUUUACACAUGCAAGUCGAACGGCAGCACGGGGGCAACCCUGGUGGCGAGUGGCGAACGGGUGAGUAAUACAUCGGAACGUGCCCAGUCGUGGGGGAUAACGUAGCGAAAGUUACGCUAAUACCGCAUACGAUCUACGGAUGAAAGCGGGGGACCGUAAGGCCUCGCGCGAUUGGAGCGGCCGAUGUCAGAUUAGGUAGUUGGUGAGGUAGAGGCCCACCAAGCCGACGAUCUGUAGCUGGUCUGAGAGGACGACCAGCCACACUGGGACUGAGACGCGGCCCAGACUCCUACGGGAGGCAGCAGUGGGGAAUUUUGGACAAUGGGCGCAAGCCUGAUCCAGCCAUUCCGCGUGCAGGACGAAGGCCUUCGGGUUGUAAACUGCUUUUGUACGGAACGAAAAGGCUCUGGUUAAUACCUGGGGCUCAUGACGGUACCGUAAGAAUAAGCACCGGCUAACUACGUGCCAGCCGCCGCCGUAA
rnacentral:rRNA from 1 species